UUGCUUUGGCUGCAGAUACACGGAAACUGGAAAGAUACAGAGAAGAUUAGCGUGGCCCCUGUACAAAUUCAUGAAACAUUCUAUCUUUUU
rnacentral:snRNA from 1 species